GACGGAGGAUGCAAGCGUUAUCCGGAAUGAUUGGGCGUAAAGCGUCCGCAGGUGGCAGUUCAAGUCCGCUGUCAAAGACCGGGGCUUAACUUCGGAAAGGCAGUGGAAACUGAACAGCUAGAGUAUGGUAGGGGCAGAGGGAAUUCCUGGUGUAGCGGUGAAAUGCGUAGAGAUCAGGAAGAACAUCGGUGGCGAAGGCGCUCUGCUGGACCAUAACUGACACUCAGGGACGAAAGCUAGGGGAGCGAAUGGG
rnacentral:rRNA from 1 species